rnacentral:sRNA from 1 species
UUCAAUGGCAAUUUUAGCGCACGGCUCGCUAUGAGCCUUUUCCCUGGACCGGAUAGAGGACUUUAUCCGGUCUCUUUUU